GGUUAACGGGGGAUUAGGGUUCGAUUCCGGAGAGGGAGCCUGAGAAACGGCUACCACAUCUAAGGAAGGCAGCAGGCGCGCAAAUUACCCAAUUCUAACAGUUUGAGAGAGGUAGUAACAAGAAAUAACAAUACAAGGCAGUUAAAAUGCUUUGUAAUUGGAAUGAUAGAAAUUUAAACCCUUUUUAAAGUAUCAAUUGGAGGGCAAGUCUGGUGCCAGCAGCCGCGGUAAUUCCAGCUCCAAUAGCGUAUAUUAAAAUUGUUGCAGUUAAAAAGCUCGUAGUUGAAGUUCUGCURAAAGUAACCGGUCUGCUUUUAAUAAAAGUGGUAUCUUGGUAUGUAUUUAGCAAUGAUGUCCUUUGAAGUGUUUUUUACUUUAUUGUAAUAAAGCAUAUUCAGGACUUUUACUUUGAGAAAAUUAGAGUGUUUCUAGCAGGCUGACGCUUUGAAUACUGCAGCAUGGAAUAAUAAGAUAGGAUUUUAGUUCUACAUUAUUGGUUUUAAGAGCUAAAUUAAUGAUUGAUAGGGACAGUUGGGGGCAUUUGUAUUUAACUGUCAGAGGU
rnacentral:rRNA from 1 species